AGGAAAAGAAACCAACAGGGAUUGCCCUAGUAACGGCGAGUGAAGCGGCAACAGCUCAAAUUUGAAAUCUGGCGCAAGCCCGAGUUGUAAUUUGUAGAGGAUGCUUCUAGGUAGCGACCGGUCUAAGUUCCUUGGAACAGGACGUCAUAGAGGGUGAGAAUCCCGUAUGUGACCGGCCCGCACCUUCUACGUAGCUCCUUCGACGAGUCGAGUUGUUUGGGAAUGCAGCUCUAAAUGGGAGGUAAAUUUCUUCUAAAGCUAAAUACCGGCCAGAGACCGAUAGCGCACAAGUAGAGUGAUCGAAAGAUGAAAAGCACUUUGGAAAGAGAGUUAAAAAGCACGUGAAAUUGUUGAAAGGGAAGCGCUUACAACCAGACUUCUGGGCGGUGUUCCGCCGGUCUUUUGACCGGUCUACUCGCCGUCCCGAGGCCAACAUCAUCUGGGACCGCUGGAUAAGACCUUAGGAAUGUAGCUUCCCUCGGGAAGUGUUAUAGCCUCUGGUGAUGCAGCGCGUCUCGGGUGAGGUCCGCGCUUCGGCAAGGAUGUUGGCGUAAUGGUUGUCAGCGGCCCGUCUUGAAACACGGACCAAGGAGUCUAACAUCUAUGCGAGUGUUCGGGUGUCAAACCCCUACGCGUAAUGAAAGUGAACGGAGGUGGGAAGCGUAAGCUGCACCAUCGACCGAUCCUGAUGUCCUCGGAUGGAUUUGAGUAAGAGCAUAGCUGUUGGGACCCGAAAGAUGGUGAACUAUGCCUGAAUAGGGUGAAGCCAGAGGAAACUCUGGUGGAGGCUCGCAGCGGUUCUGACGUGCAAAUCGAUCGUCAAAUUUGGG
rnacentral:rRNA from 1 species